CUGAUCUUAGACUUCUGGCCUCCAGAACUGUGAGAUGACACAUUUCUGUUGUUUAAGCCCCUGGUUUGGUCUGUGGCACGUUGUUACAGCAGCCCUGGGAAACUCAUACAGAGGGGCUGUCAGGAAAGCUUCAAAGAGAUGAUUUCAGAGGUAAAACGUGUCUGCCAGCUGGCUUGGGGAAGGCAGCAGUCAGCUGGUGAAAACAUCUACUGAGCUUUAAGGAAUAGCACAGAAGAGACAGCAAAGUAUCUACUACAAGGGACAUCUAACUUCCCUGGGACAAAGGGCUCCAAGAGGUCUGCAUCCAAAAUAAAACUUCGUCAAGAAAUACGCAGUGAAACAGAAGGCGGAGCCUUCGCUGGAAAGAGUAACAAGAUUGUAAACAGACUUGGGGGCUCCAACACUGACGACUAAAUCCAGGCAAGGUCCUGGGAGUGGCGCAGCAGUCAGCACACACCCUGGCCAGCACCUUCAGCAGAAGAGACAUGGAUGCCCUGACCAGAAAUUCACUACAAACACUUGGAAACCUGCAAUACUGGAAGGCUGUAGCGCGAGCCAAUGAAAAGGAAACCCCUGUUAUCUACUGGCAGAAGGGAGCCCAACAUCUGGCGCUAACUCCCAAAUAAAACAGCAUGACCACGGUAAGAUACAACACAGUUAAGCAGCCAGUAGUGGGGUUGCUGGAACGUGAACUCAGGCUGCCUGGCUCCAGAGCGCCUCCUCUUCCCUCCACUCCACAUUCCCUCUGACAAUCAGGAUGUCUCAGCGCAGCUCCAGUUAGAAACAAAAGCAAAACGCAGAAGUGAACCACAGCAAUGGGUCCCAGCCUACUCAAGAUGGUCCUCCUGCUUCCUCCCUCUUUUAUGACGAAGGGUUAGUUAACGGCUUCCCAGCCUAAAUCUACAUUUUAUUAAGUCUUGUAUACGAUCAUAUAGCUGGUGUUGUUUUUCUUUUAACUGCAGCAUUAAUUAAUCCUGGGGCAUAUUAUGAGAGAUAUUCCAAUUACUUGCUUAAGGCUGAGUAGGCAGUAAGUGGAGAAGCAAGAAAUUGAAAUCUGAAAUUAAAACUAUAGUCUGGAGACUGUGCUCUUCA